GGGAAUGUGGCUUAGUGGUAGAGUGCUUGCCUAACAUGCAUGAUACCCUAGAUUCAAUUCCUCAGUACCA
rfam:Dipodomys ordii contig_22466, whole genome shotgun sequence.